AGAGUUUGAUCCUGGCUCAGGAUGAACGCUAGCGGCAGGCUUAACACAUGCAAGUCGAGGGGCAGCAUAAUGGAUAGCAAUAUCUAUGGUGGCGACCGGCGCACGGGUGCGUAACGCGUAUGCAACCUACCUUUAACAGGGGGAUAACACUGAGAAAUUGGUACUAAUACCCCAUAAUAUCAUAGAAGGCAUCUUUUAUGGUUGAAAAUUCCGAUGGUUAGAGAUGGGCAUGCGUUGUAUUAGCUAGUUGGUGGGGUAACGGCUCACCAAGGCGACGAUACAUAGGGGGACUGAGAGGUUAACCCCCCACACUGGUACUGAGACACGGACCAGACUCCUACGGGAGGCAGCAGUGAGGAAUAUUGGUCAAUGGACGCAAGUCUGAACCAGCCAUGCCGCGUGCAGGAUGACGGCUCUAUGAGUUGUAAACUGCUUUUGUACGAGGGUAAACGCAGAUACGUGUAUCUGUCUGAAAGUAUCGUACGAAUAAGGAUCGGCUAACUCCGUGCCAGCAGCCGCGGUAAUACGGAGGAUUCAAGCGUUAUCCGGAUUUAUUGGGUUUAAAGGGUGCGUAGGCGGUUUGAUAAGUUAGAGGUGAAAUUUCGGGGCUCAACCCUGAACGUGCCUCUAAUACUGUUGAGCUAGAGAGUAGUUGCGGUAGGCGGAAUGUAUGGUGUAGCGGUGAAAUGCUUAGAGAUCAUACAGAACACCGAUUGCGAAGGCAGCUUACCAAACUAUAUCUGACGUUGAGGCACGAAAGCGUGGGGAGCAAACAGGAUUAGAUACCCUGGUAGUCCACGCAGUAAACGAUGAUAACUCGUUGUCGGCGAUACACAGUCGGUGACUAAGCGAAAGCGAUAAGUUAUCCACCUGGGGAGUACGUUCGCAAGAAUGAAACUCAAAGGAAUUGACGGGGGCCCGCACAAGCGGAGGAACAUGUGGUUUAAUUCGAUGAUACGCGAGGAACCUUACCCGGGCUUGAAUUGCAGAGGAAGGAUUUGGAGACAAUGACGCCCUUCGGGGCCUCUGUGAAGGUGCUGCAUGGUUGUCGUCAGCUCGUGCCGUGAGGUGUCGGCUUAA
rnacentral:rRNA from 1 species